rnacentral:snRNA from 1 species
AUCGCUUCUCGGCCUUUUGGCUAAGAUCAAAGUGUAGUAUCUGUUCUUAUCAGCUUAAUAUCUGAUACGGGUUCAAAUGGACCCCAGAAUAUUAAACUGAUUUUUGGCAUACGGUGGGAAUACAGUGCUUGCACUCAGCAGUCUUAGCGAAAUCAAGCUUA